rnacentral:lncRNA from 1 species
ACAGAGCUGACCAGCAGUUCUGGAGUGAGGGUGGCCCUGGAGAAGCUGAAGUCCCAGGGGACGCCUGCAUCUGCAUGGCAGGAACCAAGUCUGUCAGUGAUUCUCCUCUCCCUCGAAACCAUCACUGCAAGAUCCCGCUCUGCCAUUUACUAGCUGUGUGACUUUAGGCAAGUUACUCAACCUUUCUGAGCCUCAAUAAAUGGUAGCUAAUAUUAUUGUUUAUUGUUAUUAAAAGCAGUUAAAUCUUUAUAGGGUCAUGUAACGCACAGCCAUAAUCAGGUAGCACUGGGAGAGGCAAACAUUUCUAAAAUAGUAAAUAUUUUAGACACUGUAGGCCAAGAAGCAUAUUUCAUAUGUUAUAUAUACAUAAAAUAUAUAUGAUAUAUGUGUGUGUAUUUAUAUAAUGUAGAUACUUCUAUAACAAGAGAGAAACCUCUGCAUGCCUGGCCCUAUCUGCCUGGGGUGGGCUUCCUGUGGGCAGGCACAGUGUGCCCUGAACCCACUGGAGACGGUCCUGGGAAGAAGGGCAGCCUGAUGGAGGGAGGGGCCUGGCAAGCCAGCUCAGUGGGCUUAGGGAGUUGAAGGGGACUUGGCCACCACGGUCAUUUUCUCUCUUUGCCCCAGGGACAACCAAACCAGCUCCUCCUGGAGAUCCCGGCCCCCUCCCUCUGGACAGCUGAACGGAAGUGAAGCUAACACGUCACCAAUUCCCAGACUUAGAUUCUGCAGCCUGGCGCCCCGCAUUGCAACAGCAGAGCCCCCAUGCUGUAGGAGUGACCAGCAUGGGCCCUGUGUGGCAGGAAGACUCUACAGGAAAGAAGAGAAGAAAAGACCAAGAACUAGGAGGCCAGUGUUUCCAGAGGAAGAGGAUGCUCAACGACAAGGUGAAGUGGCCGGGAGCAAGCUUCGGAUCCCUGUUUUGACUUCAGUGGCUCAGAGAAGAGGCUGUGAGUCACUCAGUGGUGAGUGUUUUCUCCAGGGUCACCCUCGGAAGGUUCAGGACGUUCCCAGGGACUUCUGA